rnacentral:rRNA from 1 species
ACUCAAAUGAAUAGACGGGGGCCCGCACAAGCGGUGGAGAAUGUGGUUUAAUUCGAUGCAACGCGAAAAACCUUACCUGGGUUUGGCAUCCUCUGAACGCCGUAGAGAUACGGAAGGCCCGAAAGGGACAGAGAGACAGGUGCUGCAUGGCUGUCGUCAGCUCGUGUCGUGAGAUGUUGGGUUAAGUCCCGCAACGAGCGCAACCCUUAUUUUUAGUUGCCAGCAUUAAGUUGGGCACUCUAAAAAGACUGCCAACGUUAAGUUGGAGGAAGGCGGGGAUGACGUCAAGUCCUCAUGGCCUUUAUAUCCAGGGCAACACACGUUCUACAAUGGUCGGUACAAAGCGACGCUAAAUCGCGAGAUGGAGCAAACCGCAAAAAACCGAUCUAAGUUCAGAUUGGAGUCUGCAACUCGACUCCAUGAAGUUGGAAUCGCUAGUAAUCGCGGAUCAGAAUGCCGCGGUGAAUACGUUCCCGGGCCUUGUACACACCGCCCGU